UACCUUAUAUGUAUAUAUUUUGAGUAAUGAAAACCCCACACUGAGAUCAGUCUCUUGUAAUAACUCUGGGGCGUCCCUAUCAAAGUACAGGUAGUUUUUCUUUCUCCUUCAAAUCUUAUCCACUUACCAGCUUUGCGUUCUUUAAACCCGGAGCUUGCUUCUUAUCUUAUCAAAAUUUCACCGGCUUCCUCACUUACCCUCCAUUACACUGUGGCAUGACAACACUAAGACAGGAUUCACAACGGUGCCAAGAGCCUCUUAGGUGUUUUAGGAAGCAAUUGGGGACACUUUGGCUGGUGAUAAAAAAAAGGAUGAUAUACCUCUCAAACAUGGAGGUUCACCGCUCUGAGUUUACAUUACUGCAAUGGAUGGAGCACAGACUCCGUACCAGCCAACGCGAACCCUGACCAGUGCAAGACCCGACCGGCCCAAUGUACACAGGAAACGUAGUUAUUAAAGUAAUGAUUAUAGAUAUUAGUAUUUUAAAAUGCUGAGAGUAAUGUGUUUUUUCCCUUCCCUUGAAGGAAGGCAUCUCUCUGCAUGGCUCAAGUCCUUUGUUGACGUUGUAUAAACUGACGCCGUUGUUUCUGCAAGAUUGGAUGUUUGGAUCACAGCCUGGUGGCUUUUGUUCCACUCUAUCAGACCCGACCGUGCCCAUCUGGAAAACUAAGCUAACCCUAAAAUAGAUUAGUGUCCUCCCUCUGCGAUGGCGGUGAUGUCAGAUCACACCAGAUUAACUGUUCCAAUGUGUGAUGCCAGUCAUCCAAUGCGACUACUUUUAUCUCUUUCUUUUUCCGACAGAUGAUGCACCUCCAAAUGCGACACAUACACACCCUCUGACCACUCCUCAACACAAGUGACCGAUGGUUCUUAAUCAGUGAGGCCUCAGUGGACACAAAA
ensembl:lncRNA